rnacentral:tRNA from 1 species
AGGGGUGUAGGCUAAUUGGCAAACUGCUGGUCUCCAAAACCGGAUUUCAGGGUUCGAGUCCCUGCACCCCUGCCA